rnacentral:rRNA from 1 species
UCUGGUAAUGAUGGCAGAGAGGUCACACCCGUUCCCAUACCGAACACGGAAGUUAAGCUCUCUAGCGCCGAUGGUAGUUGGGACCUUGUCCCUGUGAGAGUAGGACGUUGCCGGGC